UACGAAAGGGGCUAGCGUUGUUCGGAAUUACUGGGCGUAAAGCGUACGUAGGCGGCUUGGUAAGUUGGGGGUGAAAUCCCAGGGCUCAACCCUGGAACUGCCUCCAAAACUGCUAGGCUAGAGGAUGCGAGAGGUUGGCGGAAUUCCGAGUGUAGAGGUGAAAUUCGUGGAUAUUCGGAAGAACACCAGUGGCGACGGCGGCCAACUGGCGCAUUUCUGACGCUGAGGUGCGAAAGCGUGGGGAGCAAACAGG
rnacentral:rRNA from 1 species